UCCUUUUUACUUUUGAACAUUUUCAUGUCUGAAUAUUGUUGUUCGUUGUCAUUGUGGUGAAUGGCGGACCGCAGACGAGCUUCUUUUGCCUCGCGUGAGUGCUUCCAUCCCGUGUAGACCAUGAGCCCGAACACCAACAGACUGGUGCUAACCCGGUAGUACCCUGCCAGAUAAACGGGCAGCAAGGCACCUAGGCACUUGCCGAAUGUCCAAAGAACCGAUACAGCGUCAACACCUUGUGGUUUGGGGGUUUCAAUUUCUAAACUAUUCGGUGUAUUCUUUUCGGAAUGGGCCGAACCAGAUGCGUCCUUGGUGGAUUCUCCCUGCCCCGAGUCCGGAUUUUGCAUCGUGGCGUUUUCUGACAGAAAAUGCAUCUAUUUCGGUUUGAGAGACGAGAAGGCACAGCUGCGGGGGAAAUGAACACAUUGGAUCCUCCCAAAACAACAUAUAGUAGGCCUAUUCAUUAUGUUUUUCAGAGUUGUACCCAAAAUUACCCAUAUAGUGAAUACAGAAAAUAAAUUCAAAGACUAUAA